UACGGAGGGGGCUAGCGUUGUUCGGAAUCACUGGGCGUAAAGCGCACGUAGGCGGAUUGCUAAGUCAGGGGUGAAAUCCUGGAGCUCAACUCCAGAACUGCCUUUGAUACUGGCGAUCUCGAGUCCGGGAGAGGUGAGUGGAACUGCGAGUGUAGAGGUGAAAUUCGUAGAUAUUCGCAAGAACACCAGUGGCGAAGGCGGCUCACUGGCCCGGUACUGACGCUGAGGUGCGAAAGCGUGGGGAGCAAACAGG
rnacentral:rRNA from 1 species